UGGAAGUAAAAGUCGUAACAAGGUUUCCGUAGGUGAACCUGCGGAAGGAUCAUUAACGAGUUCAGAAAAGGGUUGUCGCUGGCCUCAAAAUCCGGGGCAUGUGCACACCCUGCUCAUCCACUCUCACACCUGUGCACUUUCUGUAGGUCGGUUCGGGAUCGGGUCCCUCGCGGGGUCGGGUUCUGCGCCUUCCUAUGUACAAUCACAAACGCUUCAGUAUUCAGAAUGUCAUUGCGAUAAUUAAAACGCAUCUUAUACAACUUUCAGCAACGGAUCUCUUGGCUCUCGCAUCGAUGAAGAACGCAGCGAAAUGCGAUAAGUAAUGUGAAUUGCAGAAUUCAGUGAAUCAUCGAAUCUUUGAACGCACCUUGCGCUCCUUGGUAUUCCGAGGAGCAUGCCUGUUUGAGUGUCAUGGAAUUCUCAACCCACACAUCCUUGUGAUGUGGACGGGCUUGGACUUUGGAGGUUUCUGCCGGCCCCCCAUUCGGGUCGGCUCCUCUGGAAUGCAUUAGCUCCAUCCCUUGCGGAUCGGCUCUCGGUGUGAUAAUUGUCUACGCCGUGGUCGUUGAAGCCUCAGUUGGGCGAGCUCACAAUCGUCCCCUCCGGGACAAUUCAAUCUGACAUCUGACCUCAAAUCAGGUAGGACUACCCGCUGAACUUAAGCAUAUCAAUAAGCGGAGGAA
rnacentral:rRNA from 1 species